rnacentral:rRNA from 1 species
UACAGAGGUCUCAAGCGUUGUUCGGAUUCAUUGGGCGUAAAGGGUGUGUAGGUGGCUCCGUAAGUCGGGUGUGAAAUUUCGGAGCUUAACUCCGAAACUGCAUUCGAUACUGCCUUGCUUGAGUACUGGAGAGGGAACUGGAAUUUACGGUGUAGCAGUGAAAUGCGUAGAGAUCGUAAGGAAGGCCAGUGGCGAAGGCGAGUUCCUGGACAGUUACUGACGCUGAGGCACGAAGGCCAGGGGAGCAAACGGG